CAAGGAAUUUUCUGCAAUGGGCGCAAGCCUGACAGAGCAACGCCGCGUGGGGGAUGACGCACUUCGGUGUGUAAACUCCUUUUCCUUGGGACGAAGCAAGUGACGGUACCAGGGGAAGAAGGACCGGCUAACUACGUGCCAGCAGCCGCGGUAACACGUAGGGUCCGAGCGUUGUCCGGAAUUACUGGGCGUAAAGCGCGCGCAGGCGGUCCAUUCAGUCGCUGGUGAAAGCCCCACGCUCAACGUGGGAAGGUCCGGCGAGACGGGUGGACUGGAGGCAGGGAGAGGUCGGUGGAAUUCCGGGUGUAGUGGUGAAAUGCGUAGAGAUCCGGAGGAACACCAGAGGCGAAGGCGGCCGACUGGACCUGACCUGACGCUGAGGCGCGAAGGCGUGGGGAGCGAACGGGAUUAGAUACCCCGGUAGUCCACGCGGUAAACGAUGUGCACUGGGUAUGGCGGGAGUUGACCCCUGCCGUGCCGGCGCUAACGCAGUAAGUGCACCGCCCGGGGAGUACGGCCG
rnacentral:rRNA from 1 species